rnacentral:lncRNA from 1 species
AGGUUAACUGGUCAGGGAAAAGAUUUCUUUUGGAACGCAGAAGCCAUCGCUGUGUGCGGAAAUCCAUGACCUGGCCAUGACUUCUACAACCCGGAGGACUUGCCUGGCAUUACCGAAAAGCACAGGGGAAAGAUUCUGUGGCAGAGAAUGGUGGGAGUUGUGAUCCGUACCUCCGUGUGCAUAAUGGUUGUACCUGCUCCAGGAAGGCGCUGGAUCCUCCCAAAUCCAUGGCCUGUUCCAGCCACGGUGUCAACAUGCCUUGCUCCAUAGCUCUGGAAGGCACACCAAGCAGGAGCAGUGAACAGAAGAUGAGAAGGGAAGAGAUUAGGACACAAACAACAGACAGAAGGUGACCACAGGAGGACACAGUGAGAAGCUGGCCAUCUGCAAGCCAAGGAGAGAGACCUCAGGAGAAACCAAACCUGCCAGCACCUUGAUCUUAGACUUCUAGCCCUCAGAACGGUGAGGAAAUAAAUCUCUGUUGUUCAUGCC